rnacentral:lncRNA from 1 species
AGAGGUUUUCUGGAUGAAAGUAGAAAUAUUGAUUUGAAGGAAUUUGUUUUCAGUUUUUUUUUGUUUUCUUUAAUUAACUGAAUUUGAAGGAAUUUGAUGAUAAUUUAAUUUGCUGCCAUUUAAAGAGAAUCCACCUGAUAUGUAACUCUUUUCAUUCAUUAAAACUUGAAUGUUUGACUGGCUUAUAGACUCUAUACACCUGUUGAAUAAAGCAAUGGAAAGAAAAACUGAAAGAACAUUUGGAGGAAAAGUUAUAGCACAAAUUGGUAGGAAAAUUUCAAAUAUAACUCAACAAAGACUAAUCCAUUUACUAGGGGUCAGCUUCACAUUUAACUCUUUGCAGUUAAGGAAGCAUUUUAGGGUAUGUAUAGUGGUUGGGAUUUAAUCUGACGAAGAAGCCGGAAGUUCGGAUGCAGUUUUUGGAUUCCUUUGAUUCUCUAUUAAUUCAUUCGGGUAUGUAUUAUUUCAUUUCAAGAAUUAUGUUUUCUUGAAUUUAUAUUUGCUUUCUAAAAUCUCUGUAACCAUAGCCUUUCCUUAUGUCUGUUGUUUUAUCCCUGUCUCAUGUUUGUUCAAUGUUGAUGAUUCCUAUCGGGGAUUUGAAAUAGUUAGUGCCCACUCAAGGCCAUCUGUAUAUUUGGGUUGGGUAGCAUCUCAGAGAAUGAAUCACUUUCAAUGGGAACUAUGUCAAAUUUUGAUUAAUUAGAUCAUAAUCAGGAAUUCUAAUAUGCUACUUGAACAGAGUAAAAACAGGAGGGAAAAAACAGCCUUGUACCGUUGUACGAGUCUAGAGCAGGACUUUAACCAUGAUAAUUUUCCAAUUUUGGUUAGAAAUUCCUCUAAAAGCAUAAGCUCAUAUUAGCUAACCAUUUUGGUUCAUAUUAGCUAAGUAGUAGGUGUAAAUCCUUUGAACAUCAGUCUGCAACAACCAUUAUCGUGCUAAAACCCAACUAACCAUGAUUUACAAAUACAUGAAAAAAUGAAGACAACCAAAACAGAUGUUAGAUUCUGUUUAAAGAGUAGUAAGCAUGUUAAAAGCGUAUUUCAUUUUUGUUUAGCCAAUUGAAGACAAUUGUACAUCUCAUUUUUGUUCAAGAACUUAACAAUACAGGAAAGCUAAGCAGAAUUUGUGGGGAAAAAUUAAUAAAAUAAUCUAAAUUUGUAGGCAAAGGAUCAGAACCAUAUUUGUAAACUGACUGCUUUACGAGAAGCACGUGUUCUAGCAAAACCUCAGCUUUCUUUCAACUCGGUGACAACCCUUUUUCCUGGAUUGUAAAUAACAAAAUCAAGUGAGCUUCCGGCCUUCCACCUUACUUCUAUACAUUUGCUUAUUUAUUAGUAGUACAUACAGUUCACCAUGUUUUUUUUGGAUGCCUCAUCAAAUGUGGAUACUCUUGCUAAGUGCCUGAGGUUCAAAUGAUGACACUUGAUUCUUACCAUAAGUUGUCUGUUUGGAUUAUAUAGUUAGAUUUUUUUGUGUAGUUUGGUUACUAAGGAGCUUAAGGGUAACCUGGAUCAUGUGUCAAAUGCAAUGAUCUAAUUAAAACUGUGUGUUCGUAUUGAUACGAGGAAAUUAAUGAUAGUGAUGAAGAGAAGGUUUGAAGGGAUGAAGAAGACAUUUAAGAGAGUUAAAUGAUAUGCAAUCCAGUACCGACCUGUCCACCUUUGACGAUGACUAACACAUCACUGACCAAACAAUUGUCUAGGUGUGAAAGUCUCUCUGACCAAGACUCUCUAUAUUUCUCUACUUCUCAUGCAUACACACAACACACACAAUACAUGCAAAAACACACACACAUAACUGUAACCAAUCAAACACUUACAAAUCAAACUCACAC